UACGUAGGUGGCAAGCGUUAUCCGGAAUUAUUGGGCGUAAAGCGCACGCAGGUGGCUUCUUAAGUCUGACGUGAAAGCUCCUGGCUUAACCGGGAGAGGUCGUUGGGUACUGGGAGGCUUGAGGCAAGGAGAGGGGCGUAGAAUUCCCGGUGUAGUGGUGGAAUGCGUAGAUAUCGGGGGGAAUACCAGAGGCGCAAGCGGCGCCCUGGCCUUGGCCUGACGCUCAGGUGCGAAAGCGUGGGGAGCGAACGGG
rnacentral:rRNA from 1 species